AGAGUUUGAUCAUGGCUCAGGAUGAACGCUGGCGGCGUGCUUAACACAUGCAAGUCGAACGGUCGUAGCAAUACGAUAGUGGCGCACGGGUGAGGAACACGUAGCUAACCUGCCCCCAAGUACGGGAUAACUUCCCGAAAGGGAUGCUAAUACCGUAUAAGCUCACGCCGAGUAGGUAGGUGUGAGAAAAGGUUUACUGCUUGGGGAGGGGGCUGCGGCCCAUCAGGUAAUUGGUGAGGUAACGGCUCACCAAGCCGACGACGGGUAGGGGGUCUGAGAGGAUCGGCCCCCCACACUGGGACUGAGACACGGCCCAGACUCCUACGGGGAGGCAGCAGUGGAGGGAUAUUGCGCAAUGGGGGAAACCCUGACGCAGCGACGCCGCGUGGGUGAUGAAGGCCUUCGGGUCGUAAAACCCUUUUGCCACUGACGAGGAAGGACGGUAGGUGGCGAAUAAGCCUCGGCUAACUACGUG
rnacentral:rRNA from 1 species